rnacentral:rRNA from 1 species
GUGUCAGCCGCCGCGGUAAUACGUAGGGCGCGAGCGUUGUCCGGAAUUACUGGGCGUAAAGAGCUCGUAGGCGGCUUGUCGCGUCUGCUGUGAAAUCCCGGGGCUUAACCCCGGGCGUGCAGUGGAUACGGGCAGGCUGGAGGCAGGCAGGGGUGAACGGAAUUCCCGGUGUAGCGGUGAAAUGCGCAGAUAUCGGGAGGAACACCGGUGGCGAAGGCUGGUCCCUGGGCCUGUUCUGACGCUGAGGAGCGAAAGCGUGGGGAGCGAACAGGAUUAGAAACCCUCGUAGUCC